CGCGUGAGUAACCUGCCUUUCAGAGGGGGAUAACGUUCUGAAAAGAGCGCUAAUACCGCAUGAGACUACAGAGCUGCAUGGCUCAGUGGUCAAAGGAGCAAUCCGCUGAAAGAUGGACUCGCGUCCGAUUAGAUAGUAGGCGGGGUAACGGCCCACCUAGUCGACGAUCGGUAGCCGGACUGAGAGGUUGAACGGCCACAUUGGGACUGAGACACGGCCCAGACUCCUACGGGAGGCAGCAUG
rnacentral:rRNA from 1 species